rnacentral:rRNA from 1 species
CUCUUUUUGAUUAUAAUUUAAAGUAGGGCCUGCCCACUGAAUUUUGAAGGGCCGCAGUAUUUUGACUGUGCAAAGGUAGCAUAAUCAUUAGUUUUUUAAUUGAAAGCUUGUAUGAAUGGUUUGAUGAGAAAAUUUCUGUCUCAAUUUUAAUAAUUUAAAAUUUUAUUUUUAAGUAAAAAAGCUUAAGUAAUUUUAAAAGACGAGAAGACCCUAUAGAGUUUUAUUUAAAAUGAUUUUAUAAGUUUUAGAAUUUAUAUUUUUUAAUAUUAUUUUAAAUUGAGUUGGGGUGACUAAAAAAUUAAAUUAACUUUUUUUUUAUUAAAACAUUAAUUUAUGAAUAAUUGAUCCAUUAAAUUGAUUAAAAGAUUAAAUUACCUUAGGGAUAACAGCGUAAUUUUUUUUGAAAGUUCUUAUUGAAAAAAAAGAUUGCGACCUCGAUGUUGGAUUAAAAUUUAUUUUUGGUGUAGAAGCUAAAAAAUUGGGUCUGUUCGACCUUUGAAAUUUUACAUGAUCUGAGUUUAAACCGGUGUAAGCCAGGUUGGUUUCUAUCUUUAAAAAAAUUAAAUAUUUUAGUACGAAAGGAUCAAGUAUUUUAUUUAUAAUAUAAAAUUUUGAAUAAAAUUUUUAUUUUGGCAGAAUAGUGCGAAAGAUUUAGAAUCUUUUUAUGUAAUUUUUACAAAUAAAAAUUGAAUUAAUUUUAAUUUUAUUGAAUUUUUUUUUGUUAUUUAUUGGAGUUUUAGU